ACCCGCUGAAUUUAAGCAUAUAAGUAGGCGGCGGAUAAGAAUCUCGCGAGGACCCCUUUAGCAAUGGCGAAUGCAGCAGGGCAGGCUCAAACUGGAAAUCGGAGCAACUUGCCAUGAAUUGUAGGGAAGCGAUGUGCUACCAGUUGAGAUGCAGUAGUACGCCACUGGAAAAGAGCAUAGAAAAGGGUGACAAUCCUGUGUGUCGUCUGCAGCCUUCAGUGCACGGUUUAUCUUCUAUGAGUCAUGCACCUUGGGAAUAGUGCGUGAAACAGGUGGUACAAUUCAUGGAAAGCAGUAUCUGUGUUCGAGACCCAUAGCGAACAAGUACCAUGAGGGAAAGGUGAAACAGUACUCUGUAAAGAGAGGUAACAGUGUCUGAACCUGCUGGAUGGGACAUGGAUGGCACCAGUGUAGCCUGGCGAGAUUGCUGUGUGCACGUGUGAUUGCCUGCUGCAUGUAGCAAUGAUGCAUUAGGUCUGAUGCAAACCUGCACACAGUGUCACUACAUGGCCAGCCAUUGCCAGUGCAUUGCAUUAGACCACCACUGGGACUUAUGGCAGCCUGCCUCGGCGUGGGCGAACACUUCUGUCCAACUUGUGCAUGCCCUGCUCGGAACACUGCGUCGGCCCAUUCAUCCCGUCUUGAAACACGGACCAAGGAGUCUAGCAUGCCUGCGAGCUCAUGGGUGGCAACCAUCUAUGAUUGCACAACGAAAAUAUUGGUUGGUAUAUGUGCACCGACAACAAACUUUUUCGCUGAUGGAGAGUGUGGGUGUGAGCGCUCCUGCUAGAACCCGAAAGAUGGUGAGCUAUGCCUGUGGAAGGCAAAACCAGGGGAAACUCUGGCGGACGCCUGUAGCGGUACUGACGUGCAAAUCGUUCGUUGCACAUGGGCAUGGGGGGCGAAAGACUAAUCGAACCAUCUAGUAGCUGGUUCCCUCCGAAGUUUUCCUCAGGAUAGCUAGAGUUGAUCAAUGUUCAGCAGGUAAAGCAAAUGAUUAGAUGCAUUGGGGGCUCGCCGCCUUUAACCUAUUCUCAAACUCUAAAUGUGUAAGGCCUGGUUGUUGUUUGUGUGAACGUCUGGGAAAGGGGGAGUGUUGCCUCUGUGUGGGCCAUUUUUGGUAAGCAGAACUGGUGAUGAGGGAUGAACCUAAUGUUGGGUGCAUGUGCUUAGCUGCCUACUCAUCCGAUACCAUAAAGGGUGUUGGUCCAUUUGAACAGCAGGACGGUGGUCAUGGAAGUUGAAAUCCGCUGAGGAGUGUGUAAUAACUCACCUGCCGAAUGGACUGGCCCCGAAAAUGGAUGGCGCUCAAGUGGGUGAUUGACAUCCAACCAACAUUGUACAUGUGUUGCAUUCAUGGGUAGGAGGGCAUUGGGAUUCAUAAUGAAAUUUGCCGCGUAGGCUUGGGUGAAAUGGUCCCGCUUGUGCAGAUCUUGGUGGUAGUAGCA
rnacentral:rRNA from 1 species